ACUUGUUCUUUAAAUGAGGACUUGUAUGAAAGGCACCACGAGGGUUACACUGUCUCCUCUUUCUAAUCAGUGAAACUAAUCUCCCCGUGAAGAAGCGGGGAUUUAUAUAUAAGACGAGAAGACCCUAUGGAGCUUUAAAUAAUAAUAACAAUUGCCAUAUGAUUUUUAUUUCAGAAAACUAACUUACAUUCUAGCAUCAUGAUUAUUAACUUUAGGUUGGGGUGACCACGGAGCAUAAAACAACCUCCAUAUUGAACUAGAACCUAUAUUCUAAGCAAAAAGUUACAACUUUAUGCAUCAACAAAUUGACAUUAAUUGACCCAAUAUUUUGAACAAUGAACCAAGUUACCCUAGGGAUAACAGCGCAAUCCACUUCAAGAGCUCAUAUCGACAAGUGGGUUUACG
rnacentral:rRNA from 1 species